rnacentral:lncRNA from 1 species
CCCUCCUCUAUCCCUUUCAGUGAUGUUCUCUCUGUGCCAACGACCUCUACACCUCCAUCUCUCACUUUUGUUGACAAAAAAAAUAUAUAGCAAGAUCAAAUCCUCAAAAAAUGAUGGCAACACUAUUCUAUCAACAAACCAAAUGAUGGAGCUCUAAUUCAAUUAAAUAUGAAGAAUCAAUGGACUAGGAGGAAAUAGGUCUUACAGUUUAGCAGAAAACAAGAAG